rnacentral:rRNA from 1 species
AGCGAACGCUGGCGGCAGGCCUAACACAUGCAAGUCGAACGAACCCUUCGGGGUUAGUGGCGGACGGGUGAGUAACACGUGGGAACGUGCCUUUAGGUUCGGAAUAACUCAGGGCAACUUGUGCUAAUACCGAAUGUGCCCUUCGGGGGAAAGAUUUAUCGCCUUUAUAGCGGCCCGCGUCUGAUUAGCUAGUUGGUGAGGCAAUGGCUCACCAAGGCUACGAUCAGUAGCUGGUCUGAGAGGAUGACCAGCCGCAUUGGGACUGAGACACGGCCCAAACUCCUACGGGAGGCAGCAAUGGGGAAUCUUGCGCAAUGGGCGAAAGCCUGACGCAGCCAUGCCGCGUGGAUGAUGAAGGUCUUAGGAUUGUAAAAUCCUUUCACCGGUGAAGAUAAUGACUGUAGCCGGAGAAGAAGCCCCGGCUAACUUCGUGCCAGCAGCCGCAGUAAAAC